GAUGAAGAACGUAGCGAAAUGCGAUAAGUAAUGUGAAUUGCAGAAUUCAGUGAAUCAUCGAAUCUUUGAACGCACAUUGCGCCCCCCAGUAUUCUGGCGGGCAUGCCUGUUCGAGCGUCAUUUCAACCAUCAAGCCCUGCUUGUGUUGGGGGCCUGCGGCUGCCCGCAGGCCCUGAAAACCAGUGGCGGGCUCGCUAGUCACACCGAGCGCAGUAGCACAUCUCGCUCAGGGCGUGCGGCGGGCUCCAGCCGUUAAAGCACCCACCUUUCGCAAGGUUGACCUCGGAUCAGGUAGGAAUACCCGCUGAACUUAAGCAUAUCAAUAAGCGGAGGA
rnacentral:misc_RNA from 1 species